UACGGAGGGUGCGAGCGUUGUCCGGAAUCACUGGGCGUAAAGGGCGCGUAGGCGGCCUGAUAAGUAGGGGGUGAAAUCCUGCGGCUUAACCGCAGGGCUGCCUUCUAAACUGUCAGGCUAGAGCACGGUAGAGGCAGAUGGAAUUCCCGGUGUAGCGGUGGAAUGCGUAGAGAUCGGGAAGAACAUCAGUGGCGAAGGCGGUCUGCUGGGCCGUUGCUGACGCUGAGACGCGAAGCGUGGGAGCAAACGGG
rnacentral:rRNA from 1 species